GUAAAGGAUGAAGGAGAAAUGGGGCACCAGAGACCCCCCUCUAGGAUACUGAGCACCCCAAAGACCCAGAGGCCCAGCUGCAGGACGAGAGUGGCAAAAGGGGAUCCCAGACAGCUGUAGCAAGGGUUUCUCUGGGUACACUGUCCUGCUCCUCACUUCCCUUGUGCAUUUGUAUUCCUGCUACUCCUUGGGAAAUACCUCCCCCUGACUUUUAGAGGAAGGUAGCAGAGGCUUCGAAACUCCCCCUGAUGGCUGCAAAGUCAAGGUGAGGAGGCACCAGUACUUUGCAGGCAUGAGUAGGUAUUUUCAGAGCUACCAUGUCCAGCCUACGAGUGAGCAACAUCCCAUCCACAGAGGAAGGAGCCGAAUGACUGCUAUGCCUGUGCAUUUAGUGAAUUGAUGCCAAUUCCAGGCCUCGGAGGAUCGUAUUCUUAGCUGCUUCAUUCGGGUUGCUCUAAUAUUGACACGGCCUUGGAAAUGUGGAAAGUGAGCCUCUUCAAAGACUGCAAAGAAAAAGGGGGUUUAGAAGAACAUUUACAUGAUGCUAUCCCUUGGGUUCCAGCUGCCGGACUGAAUUAGCAUCAAACCCUUGCCCUGGCAUAGGGCUGUGAGAGUUGAUUUUCCUGGCCCCACACAAUGACCACAGUCAAUAUGGAUGCGGCCUGGUUUUCAUCUGGAAGAAAUUUACAUUUGAUCCCACUCCUCUGCUUGACUGCAUCAGCGAGGCCCACAUAUUUGUACAAAUGCCUCCACUGUUCUUCUCCCUGAUGACUUGACCGUAAAAAUUCCCUCCCUCAACAUUUCUUCCUACCCAUACAAACCUCAAUUUUUGAACUCAAACUUGUAUCCAUAAGGAGUUCGGAGGAAAAGGCUGAGUGAUGAAACUUUGUAUCAAAAGUAAACAACUGAAGAGCAGGUGAACACCAGGGGACCAGUUAAACGGCCAUUGCAGUACGACAGGCACGAAGAGCUGGUGGUGACUCUUGCCUUUAAUCACAUCAGAGCCGAGAAGAGGUGAUCAGUAUCCAGUUACACUCGGCAGAUCCAAAUUGUUGAUGGAAGUCAAGAUGGCCUCAAGGAUAUUGCCUGAACAGCUAGAAGAACAGAGUUGACACUGACUGAGAUGAGAAAAUGGCCUGAGGAGCCAUUCAGGGAAAGAGGUGAAAUGAGAGUUCAUUCCAGCACAUUCUGACACGUCUGCAUAAAGAACCUGAGGUACACAUAGGUCGGUGUGUAGUUCAUACGUGAGUCCAGGCUAUACCGAGGUGGGUAUGACGUUUAAUGUCUCGGGACCGACAAAGGAACCAAGUUUAGAGUGUGGUGGAAGACAGGCCAGGGCUGAACUCUGAGCUGUGUUAUUGUUUAGAGAAUGAAGAGACAUCAUGAGCAGAGCUGAAGAUGGAAGGAAACCACUAUAAACUUGUUCUGGAAGCCAAGUACUGUGGUCUCACUGUGUCCCCCCAGAUGUUCCUGUGUUAAAAACUUAACCCCUAACCAAUGUAUUUGAAGGUGGGACUCUUGGGAGUAAUCAGUAUUCGUUGAACUCAUGAGAGGGAUGUCCCACGGUGGCAUUGCUGGGUCUAUUAAUAGAUGUGGGACCCUAAAAAGUGGCUGACUGUAUCAACAUGGCGUGUCCUCCUCCAUGUUAUAAUACAAGUUUCUCCCCAUGUGUUAGGCAGGCUUUGCUGCCGUGCUCCCAGGCUUCUCGGUAGCCAGAACUACAGCCUAAAUAAAUCUGUUCUUUAGAAAUGUGCAGGCUGCUGAACUGUGCUAUUCAUAACUGCAGCAGAGAUUGAGGAGGCCAUCAAGAAAAGAAGUGCUCAAGGAAGGGGGAAAAUCAACCAUGCCAAAUGUCACAGAUAGGCCAUUUCCAAGCUGUCAGGAGCCUUAGCAACAUUCAAACAAGUGCUGAGAGGAAAUAUGGGUUAUGUCAUGUUGGGAAAGACACAAUUUCUGUUCUUAAUUCUGAGGGCUUUCUGACAGGUGGAAGGACAGGCGUGGGAAGGGCUGAAUGCCGCCGGAUCUAGAUAAUCUUGACUUUCCUCUUCCAUUUUUUCCCUGGUAGGUUUAUCUUUCCCAAACAAAGGUGCAAGAGCUGGACUUCCGGCUGACACCUAAACUGACCUUAGCGUCCCCAAGCAGAGCAGGCAGGCAGGCUGCCAGAAUCAAAACUGCCUUUAUUCUGGACUUCCCGGGACUCAGGACAAGAUGGGACCACCCAGCACACUGGUGGUCACUUACCAUCCAGUCUCGAAAGACAGACACUAGCUGGACAGAAUCCUUGGCCUGGGGCCCUCAAUCUAGAGCUAUUGUCCUAGGGUCAGCAAGUUCUCCCUGUGGUAGACCACUCUGGGCAUCUGAGCAGUUCUUUUUUAAAGA